GAAGCUGCCAACUUCAGUGGCAUGGUGAACAGUGCGAUGAGUGUGAGGUGGCUGGAGCUGAGUGCCGACUCUUAUAUUAAUUCUUCAUUUCACGCUUAUUAUCUCAAGAAAAGGAGAAGACAACGCUGAGGUGCAGCAAUAUUGUAUUCAUUACGAACUGAGGUCGCACGGCGAUCAGGGUGAACUAUUUCAAUUUUUUGAAGGUCCUCGUUAAUAAGCUUUAUUCAGAAAAAUUUCUAUUACAAGUUAUAAAUAGGAAAACUUCGAACAUACUUCGCAAGAUCUUCGCAUAACACAGCAGCGAUGUUCCUGAACGUUGGUUUGAGCGCGGGCGCGAGCGACGCGACGACGCCGCGCACGCCUGAGAUCCUCAACUCCAUCAUCAGCAUCACGAGCCCGCGUCUGCCCCACCCGUACCCCCACUACCCCAGCGGCACUGCAGAGCUAUUAUCCCCGGACUGUUCAACCCCUGGAGACGACAUUGGUGGACUGGGGGGCUG
rnacentral:lncRNA from 1 species